AUUGAACGCUGGCGGCAGGCUUAACAUAUGCAAGUCGAGCGGGGUGAUGGUGCUUGCACUAUCACUUAGCGGCGGACGGGUGAGUAAUACUUAGGAAUCUGCCUAUUAGUGGGGGACAACAUCUCGAAAGGGAUGCUAAUACCGCAUACGUCCUACGGGAGAAAGCAGGGGAUCACUUGUGACCUUGCGCUAAUAGAUGAGCCUAAGUCGGAUUAGCUAGUUGGUGGGGUAAAGGCCUACCAAGGCGACGAUCUGUAGCGGGUCUGAGAGGAGGAUCCGCCACACUGGGACUGAGACACGGCCCAGACUCCUACGGGAGGCAGCAGUGGGGAAUAUUGGACAAUGGGGGGAACCCUGAUCCAGCCAUGCCGCGUGUGUGAAGAAGGCCUUAUGGUUGUAAAGCACUUUAAGCGAGGAGGAGGCUCUUUUGGUUAAUACCCAAGAUGAGUGGACGUUACUCGCAGAAUAAGCACCGGCUAACUCUGUGCCAGCAGCCGCCGUAA
rnacentral:rRNA from 1 species